CUCAGGGUUGACAAUCGUCCUUCUCGUCACCACUGCGUGAAGAUAACAAUAAAACAAUCUUCGUCCGAAAGAACAACGGUGACGAUUAGCCUUUUCGUCGCCGACUGCGGGCUUCACGACGAAGCUCAAUCAUAAAUAGUCACCCACCAUCUUUUUCGUCGUCCUCUUUGUUGCCUGGAAACGAGCGACGACGGGACAAGCGAACGCCAACUGGGAAUAGCUUUUAUUGGCGUUUCGGCACUUACGGUGGUGUGAAACCUCACUAGCUCAGUUCACGGAGAGAAAACCAUCUAGUUUGAAGCAACCAAAAUUUUGGUUGAUGUUCAAAGCCUGAUUUUUAUUGCUCCAAAGUAAACAAAUAUGUUGUUCUACAUUGGGGUUUUGUUUGAAACAAAUCAUUUUUUCGAGUAUAUUGUGCCUACAUGAUUUGGUUCUUCUAAAGCCAUGUUUGAUUUGAUUCAAACUAAGAUUACAUGCUUGUUUUUACCAAAACUUAGGUUGAUGAACAUGUUUCGGUGUUGCCAAAUCUAAACUAGAUCAUAGGUGGGAUUGAAUCAAGAACCUCAAUAAAAUCAACCUAAAAAAUUGGUUGGGUGAAGAUCAACCUAAAAAAUGGUUCGAAGCAAACUAAGCUAUCAGUUUGUCCAUACCACUGCUAAAUGUGUUGCUACAGCCGUAGUCGUUCUUUGUUUUCAUUGUUUUUGUCUCAGUUUUCGCGGUUUUCAGAUCGUUGGGUUGAAAGUUUGACUGCUUAUCAGCUGCAGUAGAUCCCUGCGGCUAUUAGUGGAGCCCUACGACCGCCGGAAGACAAAUUUGAGGUAGAAAUCAUCGUCAGCCCACGAAUUGAUGCGCUUUUGCACAAGGAUCAUGGCCAAAAAGUUGCGAUUUUCAAGAUUUUUCUUUUUACCGCAAAGCAGUAGCCCGAUGUUACGACCGGAUUUUGCAGAUGAUCAACCGGAAUUAGCAAUAUCCGAUAAUUUUCUUGAGGCAAAGGAAGACCCCCUUGCGGAAGGUGCAGAACUGGAUGUAUGUUUUUAUGACAAUAAAAGUGUAAGCCAAAUGUGAUAGUAAUAAUGUUUCCUUGGCAAUAAAAGUGUUACUAUGUUCAA